UACGUAGGUGGCAAGCGUUAUCCGGAUUUAUUGGGCGUAUAGGGAACGCAGGCGGUCUUUUAAGUCUGAUGUGAAAGCCUUCGGCUUAACCGGAGUAGUGCAUUGGAAACUGGGAGACUUGAGUGCAGAAGAGGAGAGUGGAACUCCAUGUGUAGCGGUGAAAUGCGUAGAUAUAUGGAAGAACACCAGUGGCGAAAGCGGCUCUCUGGUCUGUAACUGACGCUGAGGUUCGAAAGCGUGGGUAGCAAACAGG
rnacentral:rRNA from 1 species